UCCUUUUGUGUAGCUGCAAAAUGGAAAACCUGGAAAAGUUGAGGAAGGAAAUGGUUUAUCUAGCGUAUUACUAUCAAGAGGACAAUUAUCAUAACACUAAUACUAUAUCCGAUUAUGAUUAUCUAUCCCUCGUUGACAGCUUUCUCAAGGAGUGCUCCAAUGCAGCUAAGGAGUUUGAUAAGCAAAGACUUUGGAUGGGAUGAUAGAAUGAAGGUAGCAACUCAACUUGCAAGCCUCUUCACAUGGUUGCAUGAGAGACAAUUUGCAUUUAAUUUGGUGGUAUGGAACCUUCGAGCAUAAUGAUUGACAAGGACUUCAACAUAAAAGUAUUGGACUUUGGUUUUCUAGUUCGUGUAAAGGAUGAGGAUAACGGAGUACUUACCAUUCCUUAUUUGAAUCUCCCUGAUGCUCCAGAGGCUUAUGAGGGUACUCGAACUUUAAAAUCUGAUGUUUACGUAUUUGGUGUGGGGUUGGUUGCCAAUAACAAAAACGUCUAUACAGCAUAUUAUUGUUGGAUUGUGGACGAGCUCCAACGUGGUAAAAGAUGAUAGUGGAUGAAUUACUUCUGCGACGUGAUUAUAAUGGCUAUCUCGCUUGUAGAAUCACGAAACUAGUAGCAGAAUGUCUGAAAGUGGAUCCAAAUGCACGACCAGAUAUGAUGGAUGUCUUUGCCAACUUAUCCAGUAUGAUAUCUGAUAUUCCACGCGGACAGCGUCAAGUUAUGCAUCAUUCGGACAAUAUUCGCAAUGUUCUUGGAAUACCUCUCAUCUUAACAUUAGUAGUCGGUGGCCUGGGAAUCCUUUUGUUUAAGAGCCUGCAACACUGAAACUGAUUCUUUAUCCAAACAUUUUCUGUGUAGAGAUUGUUCAAUUUGUUUGUAUGUAUAUGAUUAAGUGCGUAUUAUCUUCGCAUGAUUAUUAGUUUGUAAUGUAUUACUUAUUGAUGGCAGGGGCGUACGCAGAAUUUUUUG